UAAAAGCAACUUUUUAUUUACAAUAAAAAGGUUACAAAGGCAUAUAUACUUAUAUAUAUUUAUAUAAUACCCUUAAGUUACAAAUUUUCAUUGUAAUAUACAAUGUUAUAUGUCGAUGUGCAACCCAAGGGAAGUGUUGUCUAAGCAUCUAUAUUGAGAGAAUACACAUAAAGCCUUUUAAAAAGAACACAGACUGCUCUGUUUUAUGUCAUGGGUCUUUGAUUUGGUAGCCAGAAGACUUGAAAAAAAAUUUUUUUUUUUUGGUUCUUUUUUUCGGAGCUGGGGACCGAACCCAGGGCCUUGCGCUUCCUAGGCAAGCGCUCUACCACUGAGCUAAAUCCCCAACCCCAGACUUGAAAAUUUUUAAAUAAGACUUGUAUAGAGGUCUCAUUCAAAUAAAGGAUUAUAAAAAGAAAAACAAAAGCAACACCCAAAACAACACCAAAACAAUCAGUUGGUACAAAUGGGAUAUUUUUGUUGUUGAGGUUUUUGUGUUUGUUUGUUUUGAGGGGCAGUUUCGAAUGCCUACGCUGGCUUGUUAUUUACUAUGUAACUGUGGAUGGCUUCUUCCCACCUCCCACCUUCCAAAUGAGUGCUGGGUUUAUAGAUGUGGCCAGCCACAUCUGGUUUUCUAUGGUGCUGUGGAUAGACCUCAGGGCUUCCUGUAUUCAGGCAAGCGUUCUUCUGGGCUAAUCAGCAGCCUCACUUAAGCUAGCUUUCUAAAUCUUUACACUUAACAAGAAUGAGUAGUGAGAGAACAAAUACAUGUACAUGGGCAUUAGCAGAGUGUGCACAGGAGGAAGAAAGUAGGUUAUGCUCUGUAAGACUUCAGAUCUGGCAUGAAGAAGAGGGUUGUUUGGGCACUGGGGCCUGCAGGCUUACCUCGGCCGACAGACUAACAGUAACACUGGUAUCCCAUACUGAGAUCACACAGACCUCAGCUUUCCUCUCUCCAGAAUCCUACUAAAUCAGAAAACACCAACAAGGAGAUGUAAAAAAUACCCGUGUUAACAGGACUCAACAGAAGGAAAGCCCGUCUUUGGCCCCCCGCACUCGAUGUACAGCAGUAUUACCAUAUGCUGGUUUUGAUAAAACACAGUCAUCGGCACCUGACUGUAAAGGGCAGCUUUGAGAGCAAGACACUCAAGUCCCUACAGUUCACAGUCACCAGUCCUCACGGGUGACUUCAACACACUUGCAAACAAGGGGCGGGAGCCAUGCAACUACAUAAUCUGGCCAAGCCCAGCACAGAGAGCGAGGUGCUUUCAGGGAAUGGUUUGAAAAGCUGAUCUCACAGGCCAACAAAAAACAGCAUGGAGUGACAGGGACAGUCACUUCAGGAAAAUCCAGCCGACCCGUCUCUCUCUCUCUGGGUCUUUUCCACUGAGUUUGAAUGUUAGUGUGUUCUUUUUUUUUUUUUUUUUUUUUUUGGUUCUUUUUUUCGGAGCUGGGGACCGAACCCAGGGCCUUGCGCUUCCUAGGUAAGCACUCUACCACUGAGCUAAAUCCCCAGACCCUAGUGUGUUCUUGAAUAAGCGGAAUUGUGCUAAUUUUUAGGACUUAUUUCUAUAUUGUAUGUAUAUGGGUGUUUUGUCUACAUGUACAUCUGACACUAGAAAGGGGCACUGGAUCCCACAGUACUACGAUUAGAGAAGGCUGUGAGCUAUCACGUGGGUGCGGACAAUUAAAGCCAGAGCCUCUAAAAGAGCAGUCAAUGCUCGAACCACUGAGCACCUCUCCACACCUGCACUCUUGCUAAUUUUUAAUGCAAUUGUUGUUUAUUAAUGGAGAAAAACUCCAGCUAUAAUGUGUAAGGACCUUAAGAAAGCAAGAUGCAGCCAGUGGUGGUGAUGCCAGGCAGAGGCAGGUAGAUCUCUUGUGAGUUUGAGGUUACCCUGGGCUACAGAUCUGUUACAGAACAGUCAGAGUUACACAGAGAGACUCUGUCAAAAGAACAAGGACAAAAAAAGCAAAAACAAACAAAAAACAAAAAAUAAAAACAAAACUGCCCAAAACAUGCUUAAAAACUCCAGAGAUGCUUAAAUCGUAAAUACAGAAAUGAAUAGUCAGUAAUGUUCAGAAAUAAACCUUUCUGCCCAUUUAAAAUAAUAAAAAGGCUAUUAAUCUACUGUUGGCAAUAAAGAUUAAUCUUUCAUUUUGUGAUUUAUCUUAUUGAGGGACCGACAAUAUUUUCCGUCCCAAACUAAAGUCUAAGUUUUCAUUGAGAAAUGAGGUAAGCCCAGCUUCCUUAACACUCACCUGCCCGAGCUGACACGGGCAGGGCCUUUAAACAGUUGUUUGCCCGGGAAGUCCGAUGCUGGAAAGACAGCACAGCGAGCAGGAACUGAGGCUGCUUUGCCAGAGGACCUGUCCUGCUCCCAGCACCCAUGUGGCAGCCCAUAACCACCUCCAACUCCUGUUCCAGGCCUCUGCACAGAUGUAGCUCACAUAUAUGCAGGUAAAGCAACCACACACAUAAAGGAGAAACAGAGUAGUUCAUAAAGAGAGGCUGUGGUUGACUGGGCAAUAGAGGGUAUAAGGCCACCGAAUCUACAAGUGUCUCCCCGCCGCAUACAUUUCACUGUGAGUGGGUGCUCUAGCAGGAGUGCUCAGAGGCUAACUUCUGGGUGGCAGUUCUCUACUUCUACCAUGUGGAGUCUGGGCGCUGAGUUCAGGUAGUCAACCCUGGCUGCACGUGCCUUUGCCUGCUGGGACAUCUUGCAGGCCCUACAAGUUCCUUUGCGAUCAUUCAGCAAUGCUUGUUAAAUGAAACGUAGGGAUGGAUAUACCACGGACUAGUGUGGAAGUCUACAUUCCCAGAGAACCUUUUGUCUUCUGUGGCUUCAGAAGGGUGACAGAGCCACAAGGCCGAGUGACUAUGGAAUGGAGAAGUCAGUGCAAGGCUGAGGCGAGAAGUCUAGUCAGGGAUCUCAGUCCUACAGGAAGUGAUGGAAUAUCUUUCACAGGGUUUACCUGCACAGCUUUUGUCGGUGCUUGCUUUAAAAAA
ensembl:lncRNA